AUGGAGCACAUAAAAACUGAAAAAGAGAAGUUCAAAAGUGAUAACAAUGGGAAGUUCACGUACUACAUGUUGAUUUGCUCAUACAUUGAGUACCAUAUAACUAGAAUUAACCGAUGCAACUCCAAGAGGGAUUUGCCGGUGCUAUCGGCUGGCGUCAAGUCCGAUCCCAUGAAUGAGGAGCUGAUCGAGCACCUUGAGGCCAAAGUGAGUGCUGACAAUGCUAGAUCUCACCCUCUCAUCAAUUUGUUCAUACCAACCAUCAACAGCGAGCACGACUUAUGCUACACCCAUCCUGAGAAACUUCCAGGUAUCACACUGAGUGGCCUAAGCAAGCAUUUCUUCUAG
rnacentral:rRNA from 1 species